UACGAAGGGGGCUAGCGUUGCUCGGAAUCACCGGGCGUAAAGGGUGCGUAGGCGGGUCUUUAAGUCAGGGGUGAAAUCCUGGAGCUCAACUCCAGAACUGCCUUUGAUACUGAGGAUCUUGAGUUCGGGAGAGGUGAGUGGAACUGCGAGUGUAGAGGUGAAAUUCGUAGAUAUUCGCAAGAACACCAGUGGCGAAGGCGGCUCACUGGCCCGGUACUGACGCUGAGGCACGAAAGCGUGGGGAGCAAACAGG
rnacentral:rRNA from 1 species